rnacentral:rRNA from 1 species
UUUAACGGCCGCGGUACCCUAACCGUGCGAAGGUAGCAUAAUCACUUGUUCUUUAAAUGAGGACUCGUAUCAACGGCAUCACGAGGAUCCUACUGUCUCCCCCCUCUAAUCGGUGAAACUGAUCUCUCCGUGAAGAAGCGGAGAUGUACAUAUAAGACGAGAAGACCCCAUGGAGCUUUAAACCCAACAACACCCGCCCCCCUCCAAAUCCUAUUAUUUACCCGGUGAUUGUUUGUUUGGUUUUAGGUUGGGGUGACCGCGGAGUAUAAGAUAUCCUCCAUGAAAAAAAGCUAACUGCCCUUAUUAGAGAAAGACACUUCCAAAAAAUAAUAAAUUAAUUUUAAAUGAUCCGACAUUCGAUCAACGAACCAAGUUACCCUGGGGAUAACAGCGCAAUCCGUCCCGAGAGCCCCUAUCGACAGGCGGGUUUACGACCUCGAUGUUGGAUCAGGGUAUCCCAGUGGUGCAGCAGCUACUAAAGGUUCGUUUGUUCAACGAUUAAAACCCUACGUGA